AUUGAACGCUGGCGGCAGGCCUAACACAUGCCAGUCGAGCGGAUGAAGGGAGCUUGCUCCUGGAUUCAGCGGCGGACGGGUGAGUAAUGCCUAGGAAUCUGCCUGGUAGUGGGGGAUAACGUCCGGAAACGGGCGCUAAUACCGCAUACGUCCUGAGGGAGAAAGUGGGGGAUCUUCGGACCUCACGCUAUCAGAUGAGCCUAGGUCGGAUUAGCUAGUUGGUGGGGUAAAGGCCUACCAAGGCGACGAUCCGUAACUGGUCUGAGAGGAUGAUCAGUCACACUGGAACUGAGACACGGUCCUGACUCCUACGGGAGGCAGCAGUGGGGAAUAUUGGACAAUGGGCGAAAGCCCGAUCCAGCCAUGCCGCGUGUGUGAAGAAGGUCUUCGGAUUGUAAAGCACUUUAAGUUGGGAGGAAGGGCAGUAAGUUAAUACCUUGCUGUUUUGACGUUACCAACAGAAUAAGCACCGGCUAACUUCGUG
rnacentral:rRNA from 1 species